rnacentral:rRNA from 1 species
GUGGGGAAUAUUNGACAAUGGGCGCAAGCUGAUCCAGCCAUGCCGCGUGUGUNAAGAAGGCUUUCGGGUUGUAAAGCACUUUCAGUGGGGAAGAAGGCUUUUGGGUUAAUACCCCAGAAGAAGGACAUCACCCACAGAAGAAGCACCGGCUAACUCCGUG